rnacentral:rRNA from 1 species
AAGCGGUAACAGCUCAAAUUUGAAAGCUAGCUCUUUUAGGGCUCGCGUUGUAAUUUGUAGAAGAUGCUUCGAGUGUGGCCCUGGUCUAAGUUCCUUGGAACAGGACGUCAUAGAGGGUGAGAAUCCCGUAUGUGACUGGGUGCCUUCGCUCAUGUGAAGCUCUUUCGACGAGUCGAGUUGUUUGGGAAUGCAGCUCAAAAUGGGUGGUAAAUUUCAUCUAAAGCUAAAUAUUGGCCAGAGACCGAUAGCGCACAAGUAGAGUGAUCGAAAGAUGAAAAGCACUUUGGAAAGAGAGUUAAACAGUACGUGAAAUUGUUGAAAGGGAAGCGCUUGCAACCAGACUUGCACGCUGACGAUCAUCCGGGCUUCUGCCCGGUGCACUCGUCUGCGUUCAGGCCAGCAUCGGUUCUGGUGGUGGGAUAAAGGCCUUGGGAAUGUAGCUUCUUUCGGGGAGUGUUAUAGCCCUCGGUGCAAUGCCGCCUACCGGGACCGAGGACCGCGCUUCGGCUAGGAUGCUGGCGUAAUGGUUGUAAGCGACCCGUCUUGAAACACGGACCAAGGAGUCUAACAUCUAUGCGAGUGUUUGGGUGUUAAACCCAUACGCGUAAUGAAAGUGAACGGAGGUGAGAACCCUUAAGGGUGCAUCAUCGACCGAUCCUGAUGUCUUCGGAUGGAUUUGAGUAAGAGCAUAGCUGUUGGGACCCGAAAGAUGGUGAACUAUGCGUGAAUAGGGUGAAGCCAGAGGAAACUCUAGUGGAGGCUCGCAGCGGUUCUGACGUGCAAAUCG